rnacentral:rRNA from 1 species
CAAUAGCGUAUAUUAAAGUUGUUGCGGUUAAAAAGCUCGUAGUUGGAUUUCUGCUGAGAACGACCGGUCCGCCCUUUGGGUGUGUAUCUGGCUCUUUCUUGGCAUCUUCUUGGUGAACGUUGCUGCACUUGACUGUGUGGAGCGCUACCCAGGACUUUUACUUUGAGGAAAUUAGAGUGUUUCAAGCAGGCAUACGCCUUGAAUACAUUAGCAUGGAAUAAUAAGAUAGGACCUCGGUUCUAUUUUGUUGGUUUCUAGAGCUGAGGUAAUGAUUAAUAGGGAUAGUUGGGGGCAUUCGUAUUUAACUGUCGGAGGUGAAAUUCUUGGAUUUGUUAAAGACGGACUACUGAGAAAGCAUUUGCCAAGGAUGUUUUCAUUGA